rnacentral:rRNA from 1 species
GACGAACGCUGGCGGCGUGCUUAACACAUGCAAGUCGAACGAGGAACCCGGGUCUUGCGCUGGGGGAGUAGGUGCGAACUGGGGAGUAGCACGUGGGUAACCUGCACUUGACUCUGGGGUGUGCUUUUGAAGCGACGUCUCAUACCGGAUAGGACCUUGCAUCUCAUGAUCUGGGGGGGAUGGUUUAUUCGGUCUGUGAGGUACUCGCGGACUAUCAGCUUGUUGGUUAGGUAGUGGCUGACCAAGGCGUCGACGGGUAGCCGGCCUGAGAGGGUGAGCGGCCACACUGGGACUGAGACACGGACAAGAGUCCUACGGGCGGCAGCAGUGGGGAAUAGUGCAAAAUGGGAGAAAGCCUGAUGCCGCGACGCCGCGUGCGGGAUGAAGGCCUUCGGGUUGUAAACCGCUUAUAGUAGGGAAGAAGGGCUUCGGAUUGAAGGUCCCGGAAGAAAAAGGACCGGCUAACUACGU